ncrna:Clostridium acetobutylicum ATCC 824 ZMP/ZTP riboswitch
AGAAAAUCAUGCAACUGGCGGAAAUGGAGUUCACCAUAGGGAGCAUGAUUAAUAUAAGAAUCGACCGCCUGGGUAAAUUAA